UCCGGCUUGUCGCCGGCAGUCUCUCUAGAGUCCCCACCAUUACGUGCUGGCAACUAAAGACGGGGGUUGCGCUCGUUGCGGAACUUAAUCCAACACCUCACGGCACGAGCUGACGACAGCCAUGCACCACCUGUGCACAGGCCCCGAAGGGCUGCCGUAUUUCUACGACAUUCCUGUGCAUGUCAAGCCUUGGUAAGGUUCUUCGCGUCGCCUCGAAUUAAGCAACAUGCUCCGCCGCUUGUGCGGGCCCCCGUCAAUUCCUUUGAGUUUCAGUCUUGCGACCGUACUCCCCAGGCGGCGAACUUAACGCGUUAGCUUCGAUACUGAGUGCCUAGUUGCACCCAACAUCCAGUUCGCAUCGUUUAGGGCGUGGACUAC
rnacentral:misc_RNA from 1 species